GAAAUUAUGUUUUCCGAACGCAUCGAUCAAAGGCGCUCGCUAAUUGGCCAGAAUUAUGUCUUCGUUUUUUGAAUGUGUCCUCUCGUCCUCUGAUGUGGUGAUGCGAUGUAGUCAGUGAGGUCAUUCAGUUUUAACCGCGUUCGACUUAUUUUGUGGAGUUGUCUUUCGCGUUAACUCCUAUUCUAAAUUCUGCAUCCGACGUCUGGGUUGAUAUCGCAUAUAUCCCCUGUUGGACUGGUCUCCGUACCUAUGACUACGCCGGUUGUCCACGACUGCAGCAACCGCGCCGGGAGUGUUUGUUUGUAGAUAAAUCAUCGAUUGAUACAUAUGCUUUAAGUACUGCUUUUGUUGGUGAAAGUGAUUGGUUUGCAAAUCGCCGUAAAGGUAACUUUUUAUACCACUCUUGUGAUUACAUGUGACCAGCAGCGAGCGACGAAUAUUCUCGCGACCCUGCGUGACUAAACAGAUAUUCUGUGGUGAAUAGCGGAGAUUGUGGAUGAAACAUCGAAUUAUAAAUAGAGAGCCGCUUCGGAGUCGCUGUGACAGCGCGGUGAGAGAGGUUAAGCGGAGUUCUGGCCACGACACUGUGCUUGACGAAGUAAUCGGGACAACGCAUUGAUGAGAGCGAGGAGUUCCGAGAUAAUAGACACUCUCACGUAUGCAAAUAUGCGGGCACAAAUUAUUUGCGACGUCCCAGGGCGCUGUACACUCACCGACACUACCUAUGAACAUUUAUGGAAAAUUCGCAGUUAUCGCCAUGUCAUAGAGGUCAUCGCUAGGGAACGUGACAUGUUGUUGGCUGUACAGAAUUAACCUAACUUUGGAAAUCUUCGUAACAGCUAUUUGGAAUAUAAAGUUAUGAAACGUGCUUGAA